GCCAGGCAUGGUGGUGCAUGCCUGUAAUCCCAGUGGCUUAGGAGUCUGAGGCAGGAGGACUGUGAGUUCAACAGUCCUCCUGCCUGCCU
rnacentral:sRNA from 1 species